GGACAUCACUUUGUCAUUUCCGUUCAGAGCCACCCACCAGCUUUAAUGAUAGCAGGUUCCAAUGCUUCUUUUACUCUACUAUCCUUUAUUGCAUAAGAACCUUUCAUUUCUUCAAUCAAGAGGUUUCAAUCCGCGCCUCUCCAUCACUCGACUGACUGUCUCUGGGACUCCCUUCUCCAGGUAAAAACUUUCGCUUCUCUUAAGAGCCUCCGUUGCAAUAGUGUGAGCAUAGAUGUUUUUUUGCUUUUGGAAUAAAAGAAAACUUAAUCUCCUGGUAACAAUUUUUCCGGUUCCGAAUAUCUCUGAUUAUUGCUCCAAUGACCGAUCUAUCUGUAAUGGAACUUUUACACUUUUUGAUAACUGUUUUUGCAUCACCCAUUAUCUCCAUUUUGUUGAUUCCCAAAUUAAUACCUAGAGUGAUUGCUUGUAAUCCUGCAUGAGCCUCCGCUGUGAAUGAAUCUUCGAUGUUGGAGUGGAGAACUGCUAAAGACGCAAGGAUUUCCCCUUCCCCACUCCAAACUAUUAACCCCGAUGCCGAUCUAAACGUCUGACUAUCAAACGCUGCAUCAAAAUGAACUGUUGCCCAUCCCCUUUUGAAAACCUGUUGAUAACAGUCAGAAGUAUGGAAGGUAGGUUUAUCUUUUUUUGCUACUUCGAGUUCUGUUAAAUAGUUUCUAAUUUUCCUUGCUAUUUCUGAUCCUGGCAUUUGCUUUUUUUCAUAAAUGAGUUGAUUUCUACUGAACCAGAUAUACCAUAGUCCACAGCAGAAUAGUCGCAACUGCUCCUCGUUUCCUUGACCAAAGAUUCCGGUGAGCCAUCUCCAUAAAUCCUCAUUAUUGUAGUUCAGUAUCCACGAAAGAUUAAGAUGAUACCAGACCUCAAUCACUGCAGGGCACUGUUGGAAAAUAUGGCGACUGCUUUCUUCUUCACACUCACAUCUGGGACAUUUAGUAUUCACCAAAACCCGCUUUAUUUUGAGAUUGAGAAAAGAGGGGAUAUAGUUCCAUGAAAUCCUCCAUAUAGUCAUUUUGAUUUUCGAUGGAAUUUGUAAUGUCCAUAGUUUCCUGUAAAAGCUUAUAGUUUCGGUAUGUAAAAAUAACUCAUUAGGAUCCAAAGUCAACUCAUGUAAUAGUUUAUAGGCGCUCCUAACUGAAAAUUCUCCGGUCGACUCCCCUUUCCAAACUUGAAGAUCUUCAUGUUCUGUCUCCGCCAAUGGGAUCCUCAAUAUUUUCUCCGCUACAACUAGUUUGAAGGUAUCCUUUAUUAGCUCUGUUUUCCACUUUCUGUUACUUAGUUCAAUCAACUCUGAGACAAAUUCAAAAUUACUAUUCACUUCUUGAUUCGGUAUUCUAACCAUUUCUUUUCCUGGUAACCACAGAUCAUCACAGAUGGAAAUCCUAUCACCUCGACCCACUCUCCAGCAUAGACCUUUUUCAAGCAGACCUUUCGCAGACUAAACACUUUUCCAGGUAAGUGAAGGUAAAUUUCCUAGCCGAGCUUUCAAGAAAUCUGAAUUGGGAUAAUACUUUGAUUUCAAAACACGAGCUAAUAAUGAAUCUGGGUAAUUAACAAGACGCUAACCCUGUUUCGCUAAUAAAGCAAUAUUAAACUUCGUAAAAUUUCGGAAACCAAGACCACUAUUUUCUUUCAAUAAGCAAAGAUUCUCCCAGGUACACCAAUGGAUACUCUUUUUAUUCCAUUUCUUACGCCACCAGAAAUUAGCAACAAUUCUUUCUAGAUCCGUACAUAGGGUCUUAGGGAGUAGAAAACACGACAUUGAAUACGUUGGGAUAGCUUGUAAGAUCGCUUUAAUAAAAACUUCCUUACCUCAUUGGGAUAGAAACUUUGUACUCCAAUUAUCAAUCCUUUGUUUGAGUCUGUCUUUCAAACUUUGAAAAGAUAUUUUCUUCCUUUUUCCCACCAUACUAGGAAGCCCUAGGUAUCUCUCUAUAUCAUUCGCUCUUCUAACUCCUAGGAUCAUUGAGACAUUACCCCUUAUAUGCUCUUCUGUGUUUGUACUGAAGAAAACAGCCGAUUUUUCAUAAUUCACACAUUGCCCUGAGCUCAACUCAUAUUCCUUUAGAAUCUGUUUUAAAGCAUGUGCCCCCCUUUCUGAAGCUUCUGCAAAUAAAAUACAAUCAUCGGCAAAGAGUAAAUGUGAGAUAGCUGGUCCUCUUUGACUUGCUUUAACUCCUCUAAGGAUACUUUCUUCUUUUGCAAGUCGUAUUAAACUCGAUAGACCUUCUGCACAGAACAGAAAUAGGAACGGACUGAGAGGGUCACCUUGUCUGAUUCCUCUAGAUGGAAUUAUCGUUUGCCCUCUGUUGCCAUUGAUAAUCACCUCAUAUGAGACCGUCGAGACACAUUUCAAAAUUGAAUCAACCCAUCCUAGAUCAAAACCCAACUUUUUCAUUACCCCUUCCACAAAGCCUCAUUCGACUCUAUCGUAUGCUCUACUCAUAUCAAGUUUGACAGCCAUAAAUCCUUUUUUCCCCACCCUCUUGAGUUUUAGAGUAUGUAAGAUUUCAUACGCAAGUAAGACAUUAUCCGAAAUCAGCCUUCCUGGGACAAAAGCGCUUUGAGCUAAAUCAAUACAUUUAUGCAUUACUCCUCUGAGUCGUCUAGCAAUAACUUUCGCUAUCAGCUUGUAAAUCACAUUGCAUAAACUAAUUGGUCGAAACUGAGUAAUCUUUGAGGGAUUCAGGACUUUUGGAAUAAGCACAAUGUUUGUUUUAUUGAUUGAAUGUAAAUCCAUACCUUCGUUUAACCUCUGAGGACAAAAAUUGGUUACAUCCUCUCCAACAAUUGGCCAACACUUUUGAUAAAAUAGGGUUGGAAAAUCGUCCUCUCCUGGAGCUUUUGUAGGUCCCAUUCCUGAAAGCGCUUCCAGUAUCUCUUCCUUUGUGUAUCUUGCCUUUAAAGUCUUAUUGUCUUCCUCUGUGAUACUGCCUUCAAUACCUGUUAGGAUUCUAUCGCAAUGAUUUUAUCCUCCUGUAUUAAACAAUUUUUGAAAAUACAAUCUAGCGAUUUCCUCCUUUUCCUUCCACUCAUCUGUUUCUCUUCCGUCUUCUAACUGUAAUUUAUUUAUCUGAUUAAGUUUUCUUCUUUGUGAUGCUUGCUUGUGGAAGAAAGCUGUAUUUCUGUCCCCUAGCUUUAGCCAAUUAAUUCGGGCCCUCUGUUCCCAGUAACUCUCGUCUUUUUCAAUCUCAAAGUUCAGAUGGAUUUUUGUAUCAAUAAUCUCUGCCAGAUUCUCAUCACUUCUGUCUUCUUCAAGUAAUGCUAUCAGUUUUGAAGUCAAACCCUCUAUUUUCAUUUUCCUAUUCUGUUGGAUUUUAACUCCCCACUUCUCCAACCCUUUUUUGAGGAUCUCCAGCUUGUUUAUAAGAUCUCCUGUAAAAUUUUCCCAAAUUCUUUUAGUUUCACUAAAGAAUGUUUCUUCUAGUACCCACCACGCUUCAAACUUGAAGUUCCUUUUUGCCCUCUCUCCAUUCUUGUAAGCCGUAUCUAAAAGAAUUGGACAAUGGUCCGAGAAUGAAUGUGGAAGAUGUCGUACCAGAUUGUUUGGGAAUAAGUCGCUCCAUUGCUCCGUUGCAACACCUCUGUCAAGUCUCUCCUGAAUAUUUGUUUCAAUUAAGUUCCCUCUCUCCCAUAUGAACCAUCUGCUAGAAUAUCCCAAAUCAACUAGAUUACAAUAUUCUAAAACUUGUCUAAAUGCCUCCAUUCUUCUUUCCUCCCUAGGUAAUCCACCUUUCUUUUCGAAACCAUAUAAGAUUUCAUUAAAAUCCCAACAAACCAGCCAAGGGUAUUCUCCCUGAUUUCGUAAUUGCCUCAACAGAUUCCAUGCUGCAUCCUUGUCUUGUGAAUAAGGGGAUCCAUAAAAACCUGUAAGUCUCCAUAUUUUCCCUUCCUCUCCUUCCUCAAUAAACACAUCAAUAUGUCGGUUUGAAAAGCUUUGUAGUUUAAUGUUAACAUUUUCUUGCCAUGCCAAACUUAGCCCACCUUUUGAUCCAAUCGAGUCAACAUCAAUGCCAAACUGAAACCCACACCUUCUUCGAACUUUUUCCAUUUUAUUUUUGUUUAAUUUUGUCUCCAUUAAGAAGACCACUUGGGGAUGAUGUUGCUUCAGCGAAUGCCGAAGUCGUCGAACUGUCCGAGGAUUCCCCAACCCUCGGACAUUCCAGUUUAAGAUUUUCAUUGCGACCGGUCGGCUUGCCUCUUAGCAGCCGCCGAUAACAAAUGGUUAGAUUCAGCCCUUCUCCUAUUCCUCCCUCCCGCCUCUAUACUUUCUUCUAUUUCCCCUCUAGUCCUCUUUUUCCCCUCCUCUCCUACAAUCAGCUCAUUCUCCAAAUCAUGCUCCAUCUCCAUGUUAUUAUUACCAAUUAGCUUCCUUGAACUUCCUAUCUCUGCGUAAAGCCCGUUACCUUCCAGAUUAUAACCUAGAAUUGGAUCUGGACUAUUCUCAAAUUUUCCUACUUUCCUCCAAUCUCUAUCACUCCUGAAUUCAUCUCUAUUAUUUUUGCCUACUGAUCCUCCCUCCUCCCUUAACCAGGCACUGCGCAUUGCUUGGGCUCUCCUUGACUAUGCCCGCAAAGAUAGAUCCCAUCCCAUUUCUUCUAUUUCAACCCCAACUUCUAUUUUUGCUUUGCAAAAGGAAUCGUUAUGCCCUAACCGGCCACAGAAGAAGCAAAAAAGAGUUAAUCUCUCAUACUUAAAUCUGACAUAAGAACACAUAUUCUUAAACUUAAUCUAUUUUUUCCUUUUGAGAGGGCGACGGAUAUCAAUGUGUACUCUAAUCCACAUAUAAUUCAUAUUUUCUUUCCCCAAACUAGAACUACCAUACUCCUGGAAAGUUCCAAUAAAAUUUCCUAAUUGCAUGGCUAAACUUUCAGAGUAAAAACCAAUGGGAACCUCAUGAACUUGUACCCAAAAAGGUGAUGAAAUUAAUGGAAUUCUGAGUGGGUCCUCUCCCCAUUGCAACUUAUGCAGAAUCAGCAGAUGGUUAUUAAAUGUCCAAGGGGACCCUUUAAUAACUCUCUCCAUAUCCAUAAUGUGAAAAAAAUUAAAAAUAUACCUCUUUUCCCCCAGAUCUCUAAUUUGAACCCCCUUUAUUGGAUGCCAUAAGUUAGCCAUAGUACUUUUUUAUUGCUGGGUAAUGGAUGAUACUGGCUGUAAGGAAACACCCAACUAGACUUAAAUCUUCUUCUUCACUUACCGAUUCUAUUUCUCCUUCCAUUUGCAGGAUUUCUUCCUCUUCGUCAUCAAGGGAUAGGGCUGCAAAGUCAGAUUCCAUGGUCGUUAUACGUGAAGAAUAGAAAGAGAAGAUUAUUCACAACACUGGAAAACUCAGCCGUCAAACCAAAAAACUAUUGAAAAAAAAGAAAACCUAGACUUCCCAGAAGGGCAGACAGAGACGAGCUAGGGUAGCAGACUUUUAUAAAAGACUUAAUAUAACAAUCGUAUUUAAGAGAUAAAAUUGCAACAUUUUAUCUGCUUAAAUCAAGAAUCUAUUUUAAAAAAUUAAUCUCUUAUUGGUUCAAUUUUUUUGUACAAAUAUUAUUAUUUUUUAAAGAGAAGUCUUUACGUCAAUGUUAUAGGCUAUUCAUAAACAUAAGAUAUUAUUUGUUAUUGCCUUUUGAAUUUAAAGUGUCAUAGAAACAAUUUUAGAUAUCUACAUGUAAAAGUACUAUCAACUCUUGGCAUUAGAAGGAAUAUUGCAUUUUGCCUCCUAUAUUAAAAAAUUGAUAAAUUAGCCCCUGUAUGUUACAAAAAUGUGUAAAUUAGUCAUUCCGUUAAAUUUUCAUCCAUAGUUGUUGCUAAGUGAU
rnacentral:lncRNA from 1 species